rnacentral:rRNA from 1 species
UGGGGAAUAUUGCACAAUGGGCGCAAGCCUGAUGCAGCCAUGCCGCGUGUGUGAAGAAGGCCUUCGGGUUGUAAAGCACUUUCAGCGGGGAGGAAGGCGUUAAGGUUAAUAACCUUGGCGAUUGACGUUACCCGCAGAAGAAGCACCGGCUAACUCCGUGCCAGCAGCCGCGGUAAUACGGAGGGUGCAAGCGUUAAUCGGAAUUACUGGGCGUAAAGCGCACGCAGGCGGUUUGUUAAGUCAGAUGUGAAAUCCCCGGGCUCAACCUGGGAACUGCAUCUGAUACUGGCAAGCUUGAGUGUCGUAGAGGGGGGUAGGAUUUCAGGGGUAGCGGUGAAAUGCGUAGAGAUCUGGAGGAAUACCGGUGGCGAAGGCGGCCCCCUGGACGAAGACUGACGCUCAGGUGCGAAAGCGUGGGGAGCAAACAGG